GGAUUUAAGACUCUUUCUAAGUUUUCAAAUUUUUUUAUAUUAUAUUCAGUAUUAAUAUCAAUUGAGGACUUAGAAAGACGGUGCAAUUCCGUUAAUUUAUUAUUUUUUUAUAAUAUUCUUAAAUUUUUGACAAACAACUUUUUUUUGUUUCAUUGUCGUGUCUGUCUUUCUAUUACAAUGGUGGUCGUGAUGCAAUGGCGACGGUGGACUGAGCAUCAACAAUUCCAAGGUGGAGUGGGAGGAUGAGAAGAUGAGAGGAAAGGGGGGAGAAGGAGAAGAAAAAAAAAAAAGAAUGUGAAGGAAAGGAAGAAGAAGACCAGAUUAUGACAUCUACAAAUUAAUUUUACGGACCAUUAGAAUAUGUUAAUAAUUACUAACAAAUAUUUAUCAAUGGAUUUGAGUUCAUCCAACAGAUUUCACACUUUUAUUAAUGUAAGUCAAAAUCCACUCUUAUUAUUUCAUUUUACAUAUUUUAGAAGUUAACUUAACCAUGUAAAUUUACAUUCUUCCUUGUUCCAUACCCAUGUGUCCUACCUUUCCUUAUCUAUAGUUACACUUUCAAUAUUUUUGUUUCAAAGUUGCACUUGAGGGAACUCCCAUUCAAACCAACCCCUUCUCCAUUUCAAUCAUUAUUCCUAUAAGUGGUUAUUCCAUCUUCUUAGUUUUUCAAUUGUCUUCAUCUUAGUUGAAACAACAAAUAAUACAACAUAUAACUUAUCCACUUACUGAAAACUUAAUUUUACUCCUUGUUCAUAUCCUGCAAGUAAUAUUCUCCUAGAAUUGAACUAAUUUUCACUUCUUUGAUUGAUUUCAUAAUAUCUCUCUUCAACUAAGGUUCAAAUUUGUUAUCAGUAUGUCAUCCUCAUUGUUCCCUGUUUAAGCUCUAGCACUUAUUUUUAUCAUCAUCAAGGACACUAGGAUGGUUGACAAGAUCAUUAGUAUUCUUCAAAAUAUCAUUUUCUAGGUAAAAUUGUGCACAAGAAGUAAUAGGUGCUUUAAGUGUAUCUUCCAAUUCCCUUGGUUCUUCUAGUGUACUUGGUUCCUCCAUUGCAUCCUCAUCAACAUAUAAAAUUUUAUAUUUACAUUAAGCAACAUCAUCAUAUCCAUCAGUAGAUAUAUCAAUGUGAUGCAAUUUUAUAAUUGGUUGUUGAUUUGAUCAUUGAAUCUUGAUAUCGUUCACAUCAGGUAUCAAAUUUUGCAACCUUUGAUUCAUGUCAUCCAUCAUCUGAUUCACUUCAGUUUUAUGCUCAGUCAUCGUUUUCAUCAUCUUUUCUGAAGUGGCCUCCUUAGCUUUGUCAUUCACUAGCUGACUUAAAUCAUCAAACAUUUGUUUUGUUCUAAUAGCAAAUGUAGAAGCAUAUCUUCUAUGUCAUAUGAUGAAGUGUUCCAAACUUUGUACUUUCAAGAAAUCUCGAAUGAAAUUUGUUGGUAGAACUAAAAGUUAGAAGUAAUUCUAUAAAGUUGUUGUUACUUGCAUCCUCUAUCGUGUUGUAUAAUAUUUUGUUGUUUCCGUACCGCUCAUGCUCAAUACUUUUCCAUCGUUGAUCAUCUUACAAUUAUCUAUGACUUCAAGUGUCUUUCUUACUCCAUCCAUUGAUAACACGACUUCCUUAUAGGAUGGUCCAUUGGUUGUUGCAACUUGUUGUAGUAGUGCAUGUUGUUGCUCUUAUGAACCAAAUGGAACAAAUGAUGGAUGGGGUGACACAAAAUGUGAUUGUUGCUCAUAUUUAGAGAAAGAUGAUCUAAGGUAUAAAUAAUUCAGUUGAUGUAUAGUCAACUUACUUAUAUCAGGUACAAUAAUAAGCGUGAUAAUUUGUUGUUGAUAACCAUAUGAACCAUGUGAUUGCUCUAUACAAUAAUCACAGUUCAUUUGAAAAUCAUACUCUUGAUUAUUUUCAUGUGAAAUAAUUAUUUAUAUUUGUUUAAAGAUGUAUUCUGAAAAAAAAUAAGUUAAAAACUUGUUUAGUAGUCUUCUAAGAAGAACUCAAUUGACAACUUAAAACCUUAUUUUUUUCGCAGUCAAAAUAUUUUCAAUCUAUUUUCACAAAUUUUCCAAAAAAGUUCUUCACCCAAAAAUUAUGCUAAAAAAAUAAUAAUAAAUUUACAAAUUAAAAUAACUAAAGAAAAUAAAACAAAUAUUAGAAAAAUAGAGAAAAAGCAUAAAUAAAAAUAAAAUAAGAACAAAAUAUUAACUUUUUUUUUUCAAUUCAAAUAAUUACACAUUACAGAAAAUUAGUUACACUUUUAUCAUUAGUAACUACUUUUUCAAAGUUAAAUAACUACUAAUAAUAAAAAAAAUUAUUUAAACAAUAUUACUUGUAAUAUUUUAUUUUAAUAACUACAAUUUAUUUUAUUUAUAACUAUUAAGGUAAUCACGUGUCCAUAUUUUUUAAAUAUUUAUAUUACAUUAGUUAAAAAUAUAUGUAGAUUAAGCAAGUAAUUAUGUAAGAGACGAAUCAUGAGAAUAAUAAAAAAUCUCUUAUUGUCAACCGUAGAAACUAACUAUGAAUAUAAUGAAAAAAAAAGAGAGACAAUUUUAUACAAAAUAUUUCAAAAUACAGGUACUUCUGAAGUGUAAGUUAACAAUUAUAUUUUAAAAAAUCAGUUAAUAAUUAUUUUAUAAAGAAUAAAAAAAAAAUCAUUUUUAUAUUUAAAUAUACAUACGGUAGUUAUUAUAAUUAUUUACGGAACUUAAUUUUACUUAUACGGACACAUUUUUUUUAUAAAAGGAUGUUUAAAAUUUUUAAAUGGUCAUAAACUCCAAUUCAAAGAAGGCCAGGUCUAUUUAUCCUUUUCUUUCUAAAAACAAAAGUAACAUAAGCCAUGUAUGCAUGAUAUGAGACCAUUGCUUUUUGCAACCAACAAUUAUUAACCGCACCCUCUGAAAAAUGUAAAACAACUCAAACAUCUUCGACACUACUGCACGCACCAACACUUCUACUAUCUUCACCGCCACCACCUUUUCCAUUAUUAUGUAAAGGGAGAAGAGAGAGAAAAUACGAAAAAAUAAAUUGUUCCAAAAUAUAUAUUUCAUAUAUUUCGAAAAACUGUUCGAGAUUGUAUUUCAUGCAUUCAGAAAAUUUUAAUCAGAAAUUAUUUUUCUGGAAGUUCUAUUUCACAAAUUUGAUUAUGUAAACUUUGUUUCUAAAAUUUCGUUUCAAAAAUAUUAUUCUAAAAAUUUUGCAAAAGUUUAUGAAAAUAAUUUUUAGAAUGUUUAUUUCAAAAAUCACUUUUCAAAUAAGAAAAUGGUCAUUUUAUAAAUUUGGUAGGUGGACGGAGAUAUUGAGGGAGUGCAAGAAGUAAUAGGCAUGUUCAUAUUGAUAAUGCCGAUAUAAGCCCAUAAGCCCAUUGAUUAAAGAUGCAUUCAGGCUGGGCCUUUGGUUAGAGCCCAAUAUUUCCUAGGGUUUCUUGUAGGCUAUAAAUUGCUGCAUCAUUAUCAUGUUUUGUCUUCUUAGUCCUCCGUUAGUUCUCAGCAGCAAUCGGCUAGGGUUCGGAUUUGAAGAAGGGUCGGGAGUUUGUUCACCAUGAGGGCCAAGGUAUCGUCCUUUCUACGCUGUUGAUUAUUUCGUUUCCUUUUGUCUAUUAUGAGGUUCAGCUCUGAUUACGAUCGCUUCUCUUCUUGUAGUGGAAGAAGAAGCGUAUGAGGAGAUUGAAGAGGAAGCGCCGAAAGAUGAGACAGAGAUCCAAGUAGUGCUUUAAUCUUAGUUUGUUUCUGUUGAAUUUUACAGUUGUUUAUGUUCUCAAAUGGAAGCUCAGUAGUUAGUGUUACUGGCUUUUCCUUUUUGUGUUUUGAUACAUUUUGUUGGCUUUAAUUAGUUUAUGUUUGGUUUUGUCUUAUUAGCUCGAAACAAUGUGCGAAUCAACAAAAUUUCUUAUUUGCAUCUCUGCUUUUCUCAUUGCUAUUUCGCCUAGAUGUUUCCCUAAACUUUUUAGGGCGAUUAUAAUUUUAGUUUAUUUCUACGUCAAUUUUUUCCGAUUUAAUUAGUUGGUCUUUUGAUUGGAAUG
rnacentral:lncRNA from 1 species